rnacentral:tRNA from 1 species
UGGCUCAGUUGGUAGAGCAUGGUGUUUGCAACGCCAGGGUUGUUGGUUCGAGUCCCAC